ensembl:lncRNA
UUUCGGUUACGGGCCCAACGCUUUAACCACUAGGCUACCUGCUGCCCCUAUGCAAUUUCAAGUAGGGCCGUAAAUGUUAUACAGUAGCGUCAUUUAAAUCUUAACUAAUUUAAAUAUGUAACACCUUAAAACCGCCAUCACAUGUUCGCAUCAUACGUCUUUGUUUACAAACCAUAAAAAGCUCAAGUAGAACGUGGCAGAACGAUACUGACAACUCAACUUUUCAUCUGUGUUGUAACUUAUAGCUAGCAAGCUACUUACCAUCAUGCCAGAAAAAACACACUGUGUUGUGACUGGAUGCCGUAGUGAUAAUUUAACAUUACACUAUUUCCUGAAGAAUGAGGACAUCCGUAAGCAGUGGCUGAUUUUCAUUUCGGGUGGACAGGAUCAUAACACCCGUGUGCAGUGCACAUUUAGAGCGAAGUUUGCUUUAUAAAUUGGGGAGAACAUUUGAUGUGUCUUGCCAGGAAGCUAAUCAUGAAGAUGGAUGCUGAACCAUCAUUGACAGUAGAUCAGUUUAUUUUGCAAGCACUGACCAUAAUGUAAGUAUGAGUCUGACACGGUGGCUGUAACUGUGGAUACUUUGACGGUAUAUUUUCUGCAACACAGCUGAUUGUCACUAUAUGGUUUUUGUUCUUCCAUCCCUAAACCCCCUACAUUGAGUCUGAGAACUGACAGCAAACAGCUGAUAUGAAGGAAUGUUGUCCACAAAAGGAGUUCUGACAACCACCGCAGCAGGAAUGCCAUGAUACAAAAUCAGAUUUCCCAAGACAGGCUCCUGGAUCUCCUCUUCAACAAGGUCACCCUUGAUCCAGUGCCGUAUGUGGGGAAGAUGUGCGAGCUGUCCAUCCCAGAACCCGUCUGCCCAGUGUGAGAGGCCUGACAAGGAGGAGGCCAUACCUGGAUUUGUCUCCAGCUUCAAUCUUUGGGUUGACUGAAGACAAGUGGGUGACUGAAGUCUGCUUGAUUGAAGCGGGGUACAUGGUCCCCCUCCUCUCCCGAUCCCGUCCCAUCAAUCUCUGUAGUUGGUUGCAUUUCCCAAAGUCUAAGUUAUUUAUAUGAUAUCACAUUUUCUUUUAUAUCAUUUUUUCUAACAUUUGGACGGGAGAUGAGAGUUACAAAUUGUAAGACUCAAUGGGGUCCUGCACACUGUAGGGCAGCAGGGUGCCUAUAUUGCGGCUUAUGGCUCUAUUUUAAUUUUUUUAUGACAAAUGAUGUCUCACCAUUAUUUCUCAUGAAUGUCCAUGUUGAUCAAUAUUUCAGAUAUGCUUGCCUAAUGUAAAUUAACAAAUAAAUGUUUGAUCAAUACAUACAAUUCUGAACAUAUUGUCAUUUAUAAUGCUAAUGCAGAGGCACCAAUCAAUUGUCCAGUACACUUAUUGUAUGCUGUUUUCAUGUACAUUCCCGUAUGUCUACGCUUCUAGGGGGACUCAGACUUGACUAAUUCUGCUGAAGAAGUGUAUCAGUGAA